ACUAGACUGUAAACAGUCUAGUGUCCCCCUCUCUCUCUCCCUCUCCCUCUCCCUCUCUCCCCCUCUCUCUGGGGACGUUCCUGAUGGUGGAGCAGUAGAAGUUCGCCCCCCCGAUGCUUGAGGCACCUCAAGAAAUAGAGGCGCUGCCGAGCGAUCAGGUCCGUGUGCACAGCACAGGGUUAGAUCUUUAGAGACGGGAGUUCCCAAACACCUACAGCUGGGGACUGCAGGGGUCCAGAGAAAGUCGUCUUGUGAAAAUGAAAAUGUGCCCUGAUUUGAGCAGACACGACAUUGUCUGAGCAGACUGGAGGAGGGGACCCCGACUCCGGACGCCACCCCCGCAGAGGAGCAGCCCUCGAGCACAUCCAGGGUCACCCAGUCCUGGCCGGCAUCCUGGACCCAGAGGAGUUUGACACCCGUAGUGCUGGCGGCAGGAGCCUCUCCGCGGUGUCGCUGCAGGAGCAGACGGGCUACUACAGGCUGAAGAUGAGGAAGGUGGAGCUGGGGAUUGAACUCCUGGAGACCCAGCUGGACGCGAGUGUGGACAUCGCACCGAGGUGACUGAGUGAGAAGUGGUUUGGGGGGGGACGGACUCCUUUUGUACCCCAACAUAGGAAUCAUGGACACAAUAAAGAUGUUUCUUUUCAAUC